GCCAGCGUAGCUCAGUGGUAGAGCAACACUUUUGUAAAGUGAAGGUCGUGAGUUCGAAUCUCACCGCUGGCC
rnacentral:tRNA from 1 species